rnacentral:rRNA from 1 species
CCUACGGGCGACAGCAGUGAGGAAUAUUGCUCAAUGGCCGGAACGCUGAACCAGCCAAGUCGCGUGAGGGACGACUGCCCUAUGGGUUGUAAACCUCUUUUAUAAGGGAGGAAUAAAUGCUACGUGUAGCAUGAGGCCUGGACCUUAUGAAUAAGCAUCGGCAAACUCCGCGCCAGGCGCCGCGGUAAUACGGAGGAUGCGAGCGUUAUCAGGCUUUAUUGGGUUAAAGGGGUGGGUAGGCGGUUCUUAAAGUUAGUGGUUAAACGUCGGGUCGUAACCUUGAUUUGCCAUUAAUACUGUAAGGCUAGAGUGCAGACGAGGUAGGUGGAAUAAGUUAAGUAGCGGUGAAAUGCUUAGAUAUAA